UGCAGUGUUUUAGAAAACCUAGUAUCACCCAGCAGGAAAGUGAGGUGUUUCUUUCCUGUGGGAAAUGCAAGAACAGUCAGGGGCUAUUGGAGAAAGGAGGAAGAAGAUGUCCAGCACCACCACAGAUGGAAUCCUGUCCCCUAGAAGAAGGUUGCUAUUUUGGGAAAAGGGAAUAUGGUGUCCUGAGACUCCAGGAAGAGGAGGAGCCCAGAAACAGCUGCAAAGAAAGGGCAGAGAUGAUGGCAAGAUGGAAUGGUGAAAUAAAAAAAAGAAAACAUUGUCAAGCAUCACAAAGCUGAUACCUGCUCUGUGACAUGGCAGACUGACUGCAGUUACUUAAACCCAAACUACUCUUGAGCAUAAUUGCUGUAGCAAGCAUCCACCCACUGGCAAUGCACAGAACUCUCAGUCACCGUUUCUCUGCAAGCAACCAGAGAGAGGCAAGUGAAGUCUGAUGUACAGCCAGGAGAAGAGCAGUUUCAUCCUGGAUUUGAUAAGGUCACAGAAAACAUAAAGUGCUUGUUAACUUCCAGAAAGGAUGAAGAGAAAUAACUGCAACUGUGUAUGGAUUUUGCAUUUGACUGGAAGUCUGACAUCAAGUCUGAGAAGAUCUACUGAACAUUUUGACGUUUCAGUCAAGGAUAACAGAAAAUUUCUCCAAACCAAGGUGGAAAGCAAAGCCAAGCAGCAGCUAAGUGGAAAGGAGUCUGCCCUGUGGGAGCAGAGCGUGACCCUCAGGCAGCAAUGAUUGCCUGAUGGAGAGACACCAGGGAAGAUUCCUGUUCUGCACAGGUCAUGGCUCUUUCCUGAAUGAUAGUGCUAGCACAAUUCAUACUCAACAGCAAGUAAUCUGACUUCUAUGUGCUCUCAUUUCCCUCUCUGCAAAUGGGCUGGAUUACUUUGGCUGUUACCAGUGACACCUCUGACUCUGAGUACUCCCACUGAAUCUUAAAAAAAGAG